rnacentral:rRNA from 1 species
UACGUAGGGGGCAAGCGUUGUCCGGAAUCAUUGGGCGUAAAGCGCGUGUAGGCGGCCAUACAGGUCCGUUGUGAAAACUGGAGGCUUAACCUCCAGACGUCGAUGGAAACCGUAUGGCUAGAGUCCGGAAGAGGAGAGUGGAAUUCCUGGUGUAGCGGUGAAAUGCGCAGAUAUCAGGAAGAACACCCGUGGCGAAGGCGGCUCUCUGGGACGGUACUGACGCUGAGACGCGAAAGCGUGGGGAGCGAACAGG